rnacentral:piRNA from 1 species
UUCAAGGUGGAUGAUAUACCCAACAGGCCUU